UCCCUGCUGUGGUUCUUGCCCUGAUC
rnacentral:piRNA from 1 species